GCCGAGAUGGUGAAAUUGGCAGACACGCUAGCCUUAGGAGCUAGUGUCGCAAGACAUGGGGGUUCGAGUCCCCCUCUCGGCA
rnacentral:tRNA from 1 species